GUGGGGAAUCUUGCGCAAUGGGCGAAAGCCUGACGCAGCCAUGCCGCGUGAAUGAUGAAGGUCUUAGGAUUGUAAAAUUCUUUCACCGGGGACGAUAAUGACGGUACCCGGAGAAGAAGCCCCGGCUAACUUCGUGCCAGCAGCCGCGGUAAUACGAAGGGGGCUAGCGUUGCUCGGAAUUACUGGGCGUAAAGGGCGCGUAGGCGGACAGUUUAGUCAGAGGUGAAAGCCCAGGGCUCAACCUUGGAAUUGCCUUUGAUACUGGCUGUCUUGAGUACGGGAGAGGUGAGUGGAACUCCGAGUGUAGAGGUGAAAUUCGUAGAUAUUCGGAAGAACACCAGUGGCGAAGGCGACUCACUGGCCCGUUACUGACGCUGAGGCGCGAAAGCGUGGGGAGCAAGCAGGAUUAGAAACCCCUGUAGUCC
rnacentral:rRNA from 1 species